AUUGAACGCUGGCGGCAGGCUUAACACAUGCAAGUCGAGCGGAGAGAGGUAGCUUGCUACCGAUCUUAGCGGCGGACGGGUGAGUAAUGCUUAGGAAUCUGCCUAUUAGUGGGGGACAACAUUCCGAAAGGAAUGCUAAUACCGCAUACGUCCUACGGGAGAAAGCAGGGGAUCUUCGGCCCUUGCGCUAAUAGAUGAGCCUAAGUCGGAUUAGCUAGUUGGUGGGGUAAAGGCCUACCAAGGCGACGAUCUGUAGAGGGUCUGAGAUGAUGAUCCGCCACACUGGGACUGAGACACGGCCCAGACUCCUACGGGAGGCAGCAGUGGGGAAUAUUGGACAAUGGGCGCAAGCCUGAUCCAGCCAUGCCGCGUGUGUGAAGAAGGCCUUAUGGUUGUAAAGCACUUUAAGCGAGGAGGAGGCUACUUUAGUUAAUACCUAGAGAUAGUGGACGUUACUCGCAGAAUAAGCACCAGCUAACUCUGUGCCAGCCGCCGCGGUAAAAC
rnacentral:rRNA from 1 species